GACAGAGGGUGCAAGCGUUGUUCGGAAUCAUUGGGCGUAAAGCGCGCGUAGGCGGCUUUGCAAGUCGGAUGUGAAAGCCCUGGGCUCAACCCAGGAAGUGCAUCCGAAACUGCAUAGCUUGAGUCCCGGAGAGGGUGGUGGAAUUCCGAGUGUAGAGGUGAAAUUCGUAGAUAUUCGGAGGAACACCAGUGGCGAAGGCGACCACCUGGACGAGGACUGACGCUGAGGUGCGAAAGCGUGGGGAGCAAACAGG
rnacentral:rRNA from 1 species